GACACUGGGAUCUAUCACCAGCUCUCUGGAAUUAGCAAUAAGAAGUCGAGUUGCCACAAAACAGCACAAGAAGCCUUACAUAAUGGAGAAAUUGUAUUCAUUUAUGGCAAUGGACAGCAGCCAGGGGCCAUAUUCAUCCUCUAGGAGUGGUGAUUUGGGAUCGGUUUUCCUUGGCUCAUAGCCUGGCCUUGACCAUUGAUUAGGGCAAAGAAGGCGAAAUGGGCUACAACUUGAUCCCAGAUCACCACUAGCCUACAGUUAUGAAUUUGGCCCAGGAGAUCCAGCAGAGCUAACAGGACACUGGGAUCUAUCACCAGCUCUCUGGAAUUAGGAAUAAGAAGUCAAGUUGCCACAAAACAGCACAAGAAGCCUUACAUAAUGGAGAAAUUGUAUUCAUUUAUGGCAAUGGACAGCAGCCAGGGGCCAUAUUCAUCCUCUAGGAGUGGUGAUUUGGGAUCGGUUUUCCUUGGCCCAUAGCCCGGCCUUGACCAUUGAUUAGGGCAAAGAAGGCGAAAUGGGCUACAACUUGAUCCCAGAUCACCACUAGCCUACAGUUAUGAAUUUGGCCCAGGAGAUCCAGCAGAGCUAACAGGACACUGGGAUCUAUCACCAGCUCUCUGGAAUUAGCAAUAAGAAGUCGAGUUGCCACAAAACAGCACAAGAAGCCUUACAUAAUGGAGAAAUUGUAUUCAUUUAUGGCAAUGGACAGCAGCCAGGGGCCAUAUUCAUCCUCUAGGAGUGGUGAUUUGGGAUCGGUUUUCCUUGGCUCAUAGCCUGGCCUUGACCAUUGAUUAGGGCAAAGAAGGCGAAAUGGGCUACAACUUGAUCCCAGAUCACCACUAGCCUACAGUUAUGAAUUUGGCCCAGGAGAUCCAGCAGAGCUAACAGGACACUGGGAUCUAUCACCAGCUCUCUGGAAUUAGGAAUAAGAAGUCAAGUUGCCACAAAACAGCACAAGAAGCCUUACAUAAUGGAGAAAUUGUAUUCAUUUAUGGCAAUGGACAGCAGCCAGGGGCCAUAUUCAUCCUCUAGGAGUGGUGAUUUGGGAUCGGUUUUCCUUUGCCCAUAGCCUGGCCUUGACCAUUGAUUAGGGCAAAGAAGGCGAAAUGGGCUACAACUUGAUCCCAGAUCACCACUAGCCUACAGUUAUGAAUUUGGCCCAGGAGAUCCAGCAGAGCUAACAGGACACUGGGAUCUAUCACCAGCUCUCUGGAAUUAGCAAUAAGAAGUCGAGUUGCCACAAAACAGCACAAGAAGCCUUACAUAAUGGAGAAAUUGGUGAGGAUAGAGUCACAAAAAUAGUUUUGAAUUGCUCCAGUAUUCAUUUAUGGCAAUGGACAGCAGCCAGGGGCCAUAUUCAUCCUCUAGGAGUGGUGAUUUGGGAUCGGUUUUCCUUGGCCCAUAGCCCGGCCUUGACCAUUGAUUAGGGCAAAGAAGGCGAAAUGGGCUACAACUUGAUCCCAGAUCACCACUAGCCUACAGUUAUGAAUUUGGCCCAGGAGAUCCAGCAGAGCUAACAGGACACUGGGAUCUAUCACCAGCUCUCUGGAAUUAGCAAUAAGAAGUCGAGUUGCCACAAAACAGCACAAGAAGCCUUACAUAAUGGAGAAAUUGUAUUCAUUUAUGGCAAUGGACAGCAGCCAGGGGCCAUAUUCAUCCUCUAGGAGUGGUGAUUUGGGAUCGGUUUUCCUUGGCUCAUAGCCUGGCCUUGACCAUUGAUUAGGGCAAAGAAGGCGAAAUGGGCUACAACUUGAUCCCAGAUCACCACUAGCCUACAGUUAUGAAUUUGGCCCAGGAGAUCCAGCAGAGCUAACAGGACACUGGGAUCUAUCACCAGCUCUCUGGAAUUAGGAAUAAGAAGUCAAGUUGCCACAAAACAGCACAAGAAGCCUUACAUAAUGGAGAAAUUGUAUUCAUUUAUGGCAAUGGACAGCAGCCAGGGGCCAUAUUCAUCCUCUAGGAGUGGUGAUUUGGGAUCGGUUUUCCUUGGCCCAUAGCCUGGCCUUGACCAUUGAUUAGGGCAAAGAAGGCGAAAUGGGCUACAACUUGAUCCCAGAUCACCACUAGCCUACAGUUAUGAAUUUGGCCCAGGAGAUCCAGCAGAGCUAACAGGACACUGGGAUCUAUCACCAGCUCUCUGGAAUUAGCAAUAAGAAGUCGAGUUGCCACAAAACAGCACAAGAAGCCUUACAUAAUGGAGAAAUUGUAUUCAUUUAUGGCAAUGGACAGCAGCCAGGGGCCAUAUUCAUCCUCUAGGAGUGGUGAUUUGGGAUCGGUUUUCCUUGGC